rnacentral:pre_miRNA from 1 species
GACUGACGAUGCCAUUUAAGCGAAAUAUAUAUCUUUAAUACAACUAUUGGUUGGACUUUAUUUUAGUUUGUUGGUUUUCGUAGC